rnacentral:rRNA from 1 species
CUACGGAGGACGCGAGCGUUAUCCGGAUUCAUUGGGUUUAAAGGGUGCGCAGGCGGCCGUGCAAGUCAGCGGUGAAAGCCCGGGGCUCAACCCCGGAAGUGCCGUUGAUACUGCAUGGCUGGAAUGCGGUCGAGGCGGGCGGAACGGGGGGUGUAGCGGUGAAAUGCGUAGAGAUGGCACAGAAACCCGAUAGAGGAGGAGGCUCGCCAGGCCGGCAUUGUCGCGCGGGCACGAAAGCGUGGGGAGCGAGCAGGAUUAGAUACCCUGGUCGUCCACGCCGUAAACGAUGGGCGCUCGUCGUCGGCGGCAGACAGUCGGCGGCCAAGCGAAAGCGAUAAGCGCCCCGCCUGGGGAGUACGGUCGCAAGGCUGAAACUCAAAUGAAUUGACGGGG